rnacentral:rRNA from 1 species
CCUACGGGUGGCAGCAGUGAGGAAUAUUGGUCAAUGGACGAGAGUCUGAACCAGCCAAGUAGCGUGAAGGAUGACGGCCCUAGGGGUUGUAAACUUCUUUUAUAAAGGAAUAAAACGAGGUACGUGUGCCUCUUUGCAUGUACCUUAUGAAUAAGGAUCGGCUAACUCCGUGCCAGCAGCCGCGGUAAUACGGAGGAUCCGAGCGUUAUCCGGAUUUAUUGGGUUUAAAGGGAGCGUAGGCGGGUUGGUAAGUCAGUUGUGAAAGUUUGCGGCUCAACCGUAAAAUUGCAGUUGAUACUGGCAGUCUUGAGUACAGUAGAGGUAAGCGGAAUGCGUGGUGUAGCGGUGAAAUGCUUAGAUAUCACGAAGAACCCCGAUUGCGAAGGCAGCUUACUGGACUGUAACUGACGUUGAUGCUCGAAAGUGUGGGUAUCAAACAGGAUUAGAUACCCUUGUAGUC